AUGGCACCCUGCCCUGGGCCGGCAGUGGGGCGCCUGCUCUGCCUCAGCGGCCCCGUCCCGCCUCACCGCCGCGUCCUCUACGUGCCUCAGCAGCCCCGUCCCGCCUCACCUCCACUUCCCGUACGUGCCUCAGCGGCCCCGUCCCGCCUCACCUCCACUUCCUGUACGUGCCUCAAUGGCCCCGUCCCGCCUCACCUCCACGUCCUGUACGUGCCUCAGCGGCCCCGUCCCGCCUCACCUCCACGUCCUGUACGUGCCUCAGCGGCCCCGUCCCGCCUCAACACCACCAGGCGCUGCACACCUCCGUCCACGAGCGCCUCGGAGACGAACGUUCAAGCUGCCGCUUCUCAGGACCCCUCUCCCCUUCUCACGCACAACCACUGCCCUGGCGCUCGCGGGAAGACAGGGCAAGAGCAGCCCCCGGAGCGCUGCACGUCAGGUACAGAAGUCAACGCUGGUCCCCACCACGAGAUGUUCUGUCUUCCCUGCUACAACAGGCUGCCUGCCCCGAAAGCACAGUCACUAACAAGAAAACUGAUACGGACUCGCUCCCAAGACACAAACACUCCUGACGGCCAACAAGGAAGCCAACAACUCAGUCAGAAAUGGACAGAGACCUGGACAGCUCACCAAACAUGUGCUGCUGUCACAGAUGCUCCUAGCCCACGAUCAGAGAGGGACAAACUCAAGAACACUCCGACCGCAUCAGAAGGGCUCCCAUCCAGAGCACUGGUACCAAGUGCCAGCAGUGACAGGGAACAGCGCGAGUGCUCACCCACCGCAGGUGGCAGUGCAGGCGGCCCGGCCCCAUGGGAGGCGGUGCAGGUCUCCGAUGGAGUUACACACGCUCCUUCAUGUGAUCCAACAGCGUGCUCCCUGGUGCUCCCCUACAUGAACGGCAACUCAACUACUGUAAUUUCCCAAACUCAACCACCAAGAUGCCCUUUGUGGUGCAUCCAUGCAAUGAGCUGUAAUUCAGGGAAGAGUGAAGUAAACCCCCAGCCACGGAAAGACAUGGAAGAAUUUAAAAUGCAUGUUGGAAAGCGAAAGAAGUGGUCUGAACAGGCUGUGUAUGCGCCACCCUGGUAG
rnacentral:lncRNA from 1 species